rnacentral:misc_RNA from 1 species
GAGUGGUGUUUGGUUUGAUACGGGUGGUUGGCUCCCUGCUUGAGCAGGCACGACCAUGCGUUCAUUCCUUUUCAGUUGUGCGUCAAUGCUUGUAUAGCCUUGAUCGCAUAUGCGGGUUUUCUGUGCUGCAUACCUGGUCAAUGGCAUCGUCUUGAUCAAAUAGUCCCUUUUUCGUUUGGCGUUUCAGUUGUGACGCUGGAUGAACCAUGUAGCACCUUCUUUGAUCCAUCUUGUCGAUGAGCAUACUUCGACUGCCUGGCACAUUGAGGGUGGCUCGGUCUCUUGAAUAUGGAAGCUAAAGUGGGCAUGGUUCGUAAGAUCCUCUUAUUGCCCUCAUUUGUCGCUACUCUUAAACGACCGUCUCUCACGUAUGGCACGUCCCAGCGUGUUUGGCUCCGUCGAAGAGGAAUGCUACCUGGUUGAUCCUGCCAGUAGUCAUAU